CUGCUCGCACUCGCUGCUCUUUGACGGCUCAACCUCGACGGCCAAAAUACAACGCCAUGGGUUUGUGAAUAGGUGUUGCUAUGCGUUGAAAUCCCUCGCAAGUACUCCAACUGAUUGUCGAUAUUGGGUUACUCAGUUGUACUUCAAUAAUUAAUGGGCAAUCGGUACUCCAACAGAUUUCUAUUUACAAGAGCUUUAGUUCUGCAAAUACAUGGUUGUAUUUUCUCAUGGUAUUGAUUUGAUAUCAUACGGUUUCAUCUACAAAUCUGAUCUUUUCUGAGGUAAUUAUCCUUGUGUUGAAUAUAGAUAGCAGAAGAUUAUUCUGAGUGAGUUCCUGAUCUGCCUCUCUGAGGAUACUGCCCAAGUAUUUUGUUUUUGUACAACCCCGAAGACAGUGGCUUCCCUGUCUUUUUUGCCUUUCUAUUUUGUUUAUACUUUUGCAGAGCGUGCAUUCUGUGAUGUAAUUGACAUUACCUUUGGUUGUGAGGAGGUUGCACAGAUCCCACAUGGAGGUAUUCUUUUUGUAAAGUCUUUCAAUUGUUCAAUUGAGUUGAGUGUAUAGUUUGUUCACUGUUUUACACGGUAUAGGUGAUGGAAGAAACUUGGAAUUGAAGAUGUCAAACUAGUCAGUCUCAACUUAGGUGGACAUGUAUAUGAUGAGUUAUUGUACAUUCUAGUUAUACAAUUAUUGAAGUAUUGAGUUGAUUUCCCAGACACUACUUGUCAGUUUAUAAUAUUAAUCUUAUUGUGCCUCAGUAUUCCAAUAUGAUUACCACUUUGUGAGUUAUCUUCCAUAUUUUGCUAAUUGUACGUAGUUGGUAUAUUUCUCAAUUUCUGUACUCAUUUGCAGCCAUCAGGCUAGAAGUUGAAAAGGGAGUUUUUACCUCCUGAAUGGCUAAGCCUGGUAUGUCUUCCUAUUGUAUCAUCCACAUGUUUUUCUUGACUAGAACUUUUUAAAUACUUAUACUGAAAACCAUUUAAUCUUCUGUUAACUGUAAAAAUUUAGGAAAAAUU